ensembl:lncRNA
UCUCGCUAUUCGCCUUUUGCAUAAAGGUUCGGUUUGGUUAUUUUUAACACUUCAUGGUGCCUUUCCUCUGGGCUUUCUCAUGCAAAGUGCAAAGCGAGGAGAGAGGUUCAUCGGGGAAAGGAGGAGGGAGAAGAGACCGAAGACAAAAAAAAAAUCAGAGUCGAUAUCGCAACCAAAAUAAUAACAAUCAUUAAGAAAAAAAAAAAAAAAAAACACAACUCAACCCCAAUGCUACGGCAAGAAGAUGAAAAAUAUUUUAAAGGUUUCAUCCAGCAGGAGAGUUUAAAAGCAUUGCAGAGUUUUAUAGCGCUCCUGACGUCAGCCUCCGAAUGGCAAAUUGGCUGGGCGGGCGGCCCAAUGGGCUGCCUGCAGCCGCCGGCAUUAGCAUAAUAGUAUAGAAACAAGGAAACUUUUCGGGGCUGUCAAUCAGGGCGCAACCAGCUGACUGUCAGCUGGGAGCGCCGUAACCCCUUCCUGCCCGCCCCGCUCGCCGGGGACCGGGCACCGGGCUGGGGCCGCUCCGCCCGCCGGGACGCGCCGUCGGGUGCCCGCCCGGCUCCGCUCCGCUCCGCGCUGCCUCGCUUUGUCCUGCUUUGCUUUGUCCUGCUCUGCCCUGCUCUGCCCUGCUCUGCCCCGGGGUGAGGAGCCCCCGGGUGCUCCUGGCCGGCCGGGCACCCGAGGGCACCAUGGGGACUUGGCCCGGGGGCGUGCGGGGACUGCCCGAGGGAGGGGGCGGCUCCGCGGGGCUCCGCGGUGCUGCCGAGCGCAGCCGGGCUCCAGCCGGUGCCUGGUGCCGGUACCGAGACCCCCGGGCCGCCCCCCCGCGGCGGCUCCCCCCUGGGUUUGCCGCUCGCUGCCGGCCGCGAUCGUUCCCCGGCCGCCCCCAGCAGAGAGGUCCGAAAGCCCUGCAAGUUUGCAAGCCCCGCUCCCGCCGGCGCUCGGCCCGCCUGGCCGGGCUAAUUAACGGAAUACAUCGCGAACUAAUUGUCUUCCCUUUAGCCUCCCCUCCCGGUGCCCCCCGGCCGGGGCUGGAGGGGGAAGCCGUGCGAGCGCGGAGCGGGCUGCACCCGGCGGUGCCGAGCGGCGGCGGAGCGGCUCCGUUCAAACCUCGACAGCGCCAUCUCUCGUCGAAAGGGACCGUUUGGCGCUGAAGAUCUCCGUAAACCUUCUGAUCAAUGGCCAGAGAAGAAGCAUGGUCCAGAAAUACUGCAGGGUCCUUAGUUCCUUUCUUCAGUAACACUGUGAGAAUAUAAACUGUUUGGCGACAAGCAUUCAUCAGUUUGGGAAGAAGAGGCUCAAAUUCUUUUACUCCUCACUUAUCAGCAUAGGAGAAGAAAACAUUAGCUGAGACCGUAAGGUCUUCUCUUCCUUGUCUUGAUUUGGCCACAGCAAAACAGAUAUAACCAUACUGUCUAUGGGGGAACCGUUCAGCAUGAGCCAGCAUAGGAAACGUGAGAAGGGAGCGCCAAAGACCUGAACCGUAACAAUGGCAUGAAUACUGUUAUCACACGUACAUGGGACAAACUGCGAUCCUUCAGACGUUUCCCUGCAGACUCACCAUUUCUCUUUGCCAAAUCUGAGCCCUUCUUGCACAACAUAAAGCUUUCCCAGCAGAGGUGGCCUGGGCAGCAUCUUAUUUUUUCAUUGCCAGCAACUAUUUCUGAGAAAGGCUAGAACAGAGCGUGCCAGAGUCUGGAAUUAGAUACAAAUUAAUUGCAUGUAAUUACUCAAGAGCAUCAAGUAUCUUUUCAGGAUUUUAUGCUUAUUGUUAUUGUAAUGAUGUUCAAUUUGCAAAUACAAUUAUUGUAAAUUGCUCUAUUGAUAACUUCAGCCUCUCUAUUGUGUGUGAUCACCUCACCACGUUUCUUGUGGUCUCCUGAAAUGAGGCUUUUUUUUAACCACCAUGCAGACACAAAUAGAGCUGAAAAUUGACUGCUGUUCUUGCAAUGGCUUUCUGCUACUCAGAAGUGGGGAACUAGUAAAUUAUUAGCUUUCGAUUAAAUUAAAAUGUCACUGCAACAUCUAAGAAGCCAAAGUCAUAAAAACUUUAUUUUUGUCUUUCACCAGAAGCCUGCUAAUAAUAAAUUACUAACACUUUGGUUCCUGUAUUCUUUU